rnacentral:rRNA from 1 species
GACAGAGGGGGCAAGCGUUGCUCGGAAUUACUGGGCGUAAAGGGCGCGUAGGCGGGAUGGCAAGUCGGUCGUGAAAUCCCUCGGCUCAACCGAGGAACGUCGAUCGAUACUGCUGUUCUUGAGGAUUGCAGAGGAGACUGGAAUUCCCGGUGUAGCGGUGAAAUGUGUAGAGAUCGGGAGGAACACCGGUGGCGAAGGCGGAUCUCUGGGCCUUACCUGACGCUCAGGUGCGAAAGCUAGGGGAGCGAACAGG